rnacentral:rRNA from 1 species
GUGGGGAAUAUUGGACAAUGGGCGCAAGCCUGAUCCAGCGACGCCGCGUGAGUGAUGAAGGCCUUCGGGUUGUAAAGCUCUGUUGAGGGAGAAGAAAACAGGCCGUUCGAACAGGUCGGUCUCUUGACGGUAUCCCUUUAGAAAGCACCGGCUAACUCUGUGCCAGCAGCCGCGGUAAGACAGAGGGUGCAAACGUUGCUCGGAAUUACUGGGCGUAAAGCGCGUGUAGGCGGGUCGGCAAGUCAGAUGUGAAAUCCCUGGGCUCAACCCAGGAACUGCAUUUGAAACUGCCAGCCUAGAGUGGUGGAGAGGGAGGCGGAAUUCCUGGUGUAGAGGUGAAAUUCGUAGAUAUCAGGAGGAACAUCGGUGGCGAAGGCGGCCUCCUGGACACUUACUGACGCUGAGACGCGAAAGCGUGGGGAGCAAACAGGAUUAGAUACCCGAGUAGUCC